rnacentral:rRNA from 1 species
AUUGAACGCUGGCGGCAGGCCUAACACAUGCAAGUCGAGCGAGCGGCGGACGGGUGAGUAAUGUCUGGGAAACUGCCUGAUGGAGGGGGAUAACUACUGGAAACGGUAGCUAAUACCGCAUACCAUCAGAUGUGCCCAGAUGGGAUUAGCUCGUAGGUGGGGUAACGGCGCACCUAGGCGACGAUCCCUAGCUGGUCUGAGAGGAUUACCAGCCACACUGGAAAAGAGAGACGGUCCAGACUCCUACGGGAGGAAGCAGUGGGGAAUAGUGGACAAUGGGAGCAAGCCUGAUGCAGCGAUGCCGAGUGGGUGAAGAAGGCAUUCGGGUUGUAAAGCACUUUCAGCGGGGAGGCGUUACCCGCAGAAGAAGCACCGGAUAACUCCGUGCCAGCCGCCGCGGUAAUUC